AGUUUGGUGUGUACAGUUUGGUGUUAUGAGAACAGAAUGCUCCAGAGAGAGGGAAGCAAAAGUCAAACUGCUAUAGCUGGGAACUGAGGAACCAGAGGAAAUGGAGGCAGAGAGGGAAUAGCUUAUUUUAAUGACCAUGCUGCUUCUAGAAAGACAUAAAACAGGAUAAUCGCCAAUCCUUCUGCAAAUAUCCAGAAAUUCUGGACAAAAUAUACCAAAGAUUCUUCUGAAUGACUGAGGAGCUUUGAGAAAAAGAGAUGACAUUCUCUGGUUCUAGAAACAGAAGGAACUGAAAAUCAGACUGCUGACUGGUGUGGGAAAAGGGACGGCCUGGAUCCAGAUCUGGUAACACUGGACGACUACUGACCUCUUUGGGACUCAGUUUUCUCCUCUGUACAGUGAAGGGAAUGAAUGAGAGGACUGCCAAAAUCCGCCUCAGUUCUAAUAGCCCAUGAUUGGUAUAAGAAGGCCUGAGGAGAUGGAGAGAAAUGGAGGAGUGGCUUGUUGGUGGAGCAGUCAGAACAUAUACAACAUUUAUCAGUUAAGUUUGCCAUCUGAUACGGCGGUAGGUCAUGGCACCCCAAAAUAGUUACCAUAGUAACAUCGAUGAUCACCGAUCUUGAUCACAGGAAACACAGCUCACCAUAACAAAUGUAAUGACAAUGUAUCAUGAGAAUUACCAAAAUGUGACACAGAGACAGGAAGUGAGCAAAUGCUGUCGGACAAAUGGCACCGAUAGACUUUCUCGAGGCAGGGUUGUCACGAACCUUUGAUUUAUAAAAAACUCCUCUCUGUGAAGCGCAAUACAGUGGAGCACAAUAAAACAAGGUAUGCCUGGAACAUGUGCCAACAUCUGUUGAAGACUCUGUGGUUCCAGCUCCUGCCAUACUCUCAUCUGGAAGUCUGUGACGCAUGCACGCAGUGAGCGCAAUUUGCGCUUGAACAAGUGGUUAAUCUGAAAGGUGACUAGCACCAACCGUUUCCUGAUGCAAUCUAACUAGCAGCUCUCUUUCAAGGACAGCACACCCGGUGUUUGUCCAUAAAACAAAGUUUGCUCGGAUACAGUUGGCCAGGGACAUCUAGCUCUGUCCAGUUGCAGAUGGAGGCGGGACCUUCAUUCAGCGUUGCUGUCCUCAUGGGGCACUUGUUGUACUGGGCACUUGCACAGUUCUGUGGCCUGCAAGACGCACGAAGCCACCAGACGGUCAGUCAGCAUGGCCAUUGGGAAGCGUGGGAAAUUAUGGGAUAGGUUUACAAAAACGUAUGUGGGAAGAAGAGGUUGAGCUGUCUUGCGGCGGGGAACGUAGGAAGUAGGCUGACUGCUCUUGCAUUGUCAUUUACUCCGUGGUUACGUGGCAACAACUACUUAUUUAUUUUUGCUAAGCACUCCUGCUAGCAAAAGUCUUAAAAAAUGGCAGUCUGUGUUUAAUGGAAAACGAAGUAAUGAAAUUCUGCUUCUUAAGUAAGUUGAUGGUGAAUGUAUAACUUGCCCUAAAAUGUUUGGCAAUAUUCCCCACCCACCACCAGGCCCACCGUGAUAUUACUGACCAUGUGAAAACCAGAAGAUACAAACCUCAUGAAGAAGCAUCAGCAUCUGCUUCACAAAGGAGUCGUUAUUUUAAGAAGACCGUGCCCUAGGAUGACAAUUGAAUACCCGCAGUGGCAGAAGGUGCUUUGACACAUCACUCUGGCAAUGAUGACUUUUCGUUUAGAUCAAGAAAUGGUUGUUCUAGGUUAAUUUUGCUCAUUUUGAAUCCCCAAUUUUUUUGCUCACAUACGAAAAGACAUUUGCUAAUGUCUUCAUGCCAUUACCAGAGGAACUUCAUCGACAGUGAAGGCUGAUUUGUGUUAAUGGCACGAGAGCCUUCCAA